CAGUUGACUUUUGCUAUAAUAAGGGGUUUUUUUGCCAGCUGAUAGUUGAGCACUGUGAAGAAAAGCAUUGACAGUCUUUGUCUUUCCAACUCUGCAUUGUGCCAUGUGGCAGUUCUUGAACUCUCAUAUCAAAGAAGAUUGCAUAUUUGUGAUAUUUGACUGGAAAAAAAAGAAGUGUAUUCAUUUAAAGUAAUGAGUCAAGGUUUUAUUGGAACGAUAUGACUCAAGGUCGAGAACGGGUGUUAGAUAGCAAGAGAAAGGCUACUAGCUGGUCACAGAAUUCCAGUGAUGCCCAAUAGAUUUUAAAGAAAUAUGAAGAUGCAACUGAUGUGGAUUUUUUUCCAGAGAAAACUGAUAAAGUAUUUUGGGCAUACUAAAUAUAUUUAAACAUUCACUAGGUAAAAUGGAGAGCUUAUGGAUAUUAA